rnacentral:rRNA from 1 species
AAAAGCAUUUCAUAGCAAGGGCCGGGCAAGACCCGGUGCCAGCCGCCGCGGUAACACCGGCGGCUCGAGUGGUAACCGUUAUUAUUGGGUCUAAAGGGUCUGUAGCCGGCCGGAUAAGUCUCUUGAGAAAUCUGGCAGCUUAACUGUCAGGCUUUCAGGAGAUACUGUCUGGCUCGAGGCCGGGAGAGGUGAGAGGUACUUCAGGGGUAGGGGUGAAAUCUUGUAAUCCUUGAAGGACCACCAGUGGCGAAGGCGUCUCACCAGAACGGACCUGACGGCAAGGGACGAAAGCUAGGGGCACGAACCGGAUUAGAUACCCGGGUAGUCCUAGCCGUAAACGAUACUCGCUAGGUGUCGGCCACGGUGCGACCGUUGUCGGUGUCGUAGGGAAGCCGUGAAGCGAGCCACCUGGGAAGUACGGCCGCAAGGCUGAAACUUAAAGGAAUUGGCGGGGGAGCACCACAACGGGUGGAGCUUGCGGUUUAAUUGGAUUCAACGCCGGAAAUCUUACCGGGACCGACAGCAAUAUGAAGGCCAGGCUGAAGACUUUGCCGGAUUAGCUGAGAGGUGGUGCAUGGCCGUCGUCAGUUCGUACUGUGAAGCGUCCUGUUAAGUCAGGUAACGAGCGAGACCCA